rnacentral:tRNA from 1 species
GCCCUGGUAGUUCAACUGGAGAGAACGGCGGUCUACGAAAUCGCUGAUCCAGGUUCGAGUCCUGGCCGGGGUACCA